ensembl:lncRNA
ACACAGCCUGCAGGUCUAGAGACAUCCAUCCCUCCAGCUCCCUCCAGUGAAACACAGCCUGCAGGUCUAGAGACAUCCAUCCCUCCAGCUCCCUCCAGUGAAACACAGCCUGCAGGUCUAGAGACAUCCAUCCCUCCAGCUCCCUCCAGUGAAACACAGCCUGCAGGUCUAGAGACAUCCAUCCCUCCAGCUCCCUCCAGUGAAACACAGCCUGCAGGUCUAGAGACAUCCAUCCCUCCAGCUCCCUCCAGUGAAACACAGCCUGCAGGUCUAGAGACAUCCAUCCCUCCAGCUCCCUCCAGUGAAACACAGCCUGCUGAAGAAACUACACCACUAAUGUCCAGUGAAUCUCCUGCACCCACCGGGGACCAACAAGAACAUAUUUCAAGAACAACUACCCCUGAUGUAACUAUGGAUGGUCAUGAUGAUGACCAGAGUCUGGAUGCCCUCGCCUACCGGUCUGGUACUGGACAGCUAGACAUUGAGAUGGGUCCAGUCCAAACACUGCCCAAAGAUCGUAACAGGAUUCUUUAAUAUCGCUGUUAGACCCAAGUUUCCCAUCGACCGUGAUUCACUAUUGAAGGGGAAUGACAUUACAGGAUGCAAAGUAACGCAGUUCGAGAAAUUCUGGAUCAACAUGAAAGUGAAUCUGAUGGUUCAAACUCAGAAACUAGGGGAGGAAAUACACCAGUCUGAUUCCUUCCUGAUGCCAGCUUUGAAAGGAGAAGAGGAGUAAUGUUUUUAACAUCAUUAUUUGAUCAAUCCUCACAUUAUUCUUCUAUAUGUGGCUCACAGAGCAAAGACAAGCGAGGUGUUAAUAAAUAGUGUGAGGUGUGCUCUGUGAGGCGUCCUGGGAUAUGAUGGGUAACGUUGGCUUGGGUCCAAGCUCCACCUCUCUUGGGCGACCGCCGAGGAAGAUGUACAGGGAAUGAUGAUAUGGAGAUUACAAUUUUUUUACAUUAUUCUUACCAUUUGAUUAAAAUGUUUUAAAGUUCAAAAGCUUUAUUUAAGAUUUUAUUAUGAGAAAGUCAAGGGACACCAGAGGUGUCAAAAGUAUUCACAUUCAUUACUCAAGUAGAAGUAUAGAUACUAGCGUUUAAAAAUACUUCUGUAGAAGUUGAAGUAUAGACUCAAGCUUUUUAAUUAAGUAAAAGUAUAAAAGUACUGGUUUCAAAUCUACUUAAAGUAUUAAAGUAAAGUAAUGCAAGGGGAAAAAAAUGCCAUUAAGGACAAAAGCGUAGGCCGUGCCACAGGGGCCUAUAGAAUUACAAUCAGCUUUUUUUGCCAAGUAUGCUCACACAUACAAGGAAUUUGGUCUCUGCAUUUAUCCCAUCUGUGAAUUAGUGACACACACAGCCACUUCCCCCCCAAAAAACAUUUUUCUAAAGGCCAUCUAAUGACUAUAAUGUUAAUGUUGAAAAAAUUGGGAUGCACCUGUUUCAGACACAUUUAUACCCAUUUAAAUUGAAUGCAUAUUAGUACAAUGCAAAUACAUUAAAGAAUAUGUGUACUACUGAGCAUUAACAUGUGUUUCAUGGAGCAGAAGAUAUGAUGACUAGUUCCCUGUAAGUAUUGGAAUGGUGCAAAAAGUCAAACUUCAGAGGCAUGUUAUCAAAAGCCUUUAUUGGAACAUACUGCAGCUAGUAGGCUAUGUUCCAAGCUUAGCUGCAGGAAUUUAAGAUGUAACGAGUAAGAACUGAGUUUGUUUUUGCAUCCAACCAUCUCGAAAAAUUCUUCCAGGUACGGCCAGGGAUGUAGAAGGGUUGGCUGGUCUUCUUGGCUACCAACCUCCUCACUGGUGCUUGGUUGGGACAUUUCGCUCAUCGUCUGCUAUUUCAUAGCUGGAAUGUGGCGCGAUUUAUGUCAUGUCAGAGAAUGUAGACGGGCUCUGGUCAUGCGCAGGUGCCAUGGAUCGCGUAUAAACCAAUAAGGUGUCAGAAUGGUAUAUGUUUCUAUUCUCAUCCAACCAAUCAAAUUCACUCUAUCCGAUGGCGCGAAUCAUCUGGAUAGGUUUUUUUGAACGCCGGCGGAAUAAAAACAAGCCGAAAUUAAAUGGGAGUAACGAGGCCAUUUUUAAAAAGUAAGGAGUAGAAAGUACAGAUAAGUGCGUGAAAAUGUAAGAAGUAGAAGUAAAAAGUAGGCUGAAAAAUAAUUACUCCAGUAAAGUAUAGAUACCCAAAAUUUCUACUUAAGUAAGGUAACAACGUAUUUGUACUUAGUUACUUGACACCUCUGCGUGACACUAAAGUCACCCUCACAGUCAACAUGUGAGAGUGCACGUCAGUGAGAGACAUGAAGUGCAUACUUCUUGAGUCACCGAGCGGUUAGGGGACAACUCAGAACUCAAUGCAUUAUGUUUGGACACGAGACGUGCCCUAGCGGCAAAUGGCCGCUGAGCGCAGUGUGGGGCUCCUACCACUAGGGGGUGGUAGAAUUCCCAUGGGCCCCCCCCUGCCUUGGGUCCCCCAAGCCUGUCCACCUUACACCCCCAGUCCGUCGGCCCUGCGAGCCACCACUCAUUUAAAAUGCGUUUCGAUUGAGUUUUCCCGUUCAGUGGGUCUCCCCAAAGAGACUAUUCUCCCCAAAGAGACAAUUCUCCCCUAUCACAUACGGCCACUAGGUGGCUCCUGGUCACGCUGAAAAAACAAUGAAUUCAUUAACGUUGCACAUUCAGUCGGAUUUCUUUCUUGUAAAAUAUUGCAUUUAUUGUUAGUUUUUGUUUCUUUUUUGUCUCUUCCCAAAUAUUUCAGAACUUCAACAUGAAAAUGAUGGCAGCCAAAAUAUAGUGUGGACCAUAUAUAUUUUGAAUGAAAGCAUGUCAAAAAAAUAAACCUUAUUUUGCAUUGAAUAACUGAAACACAGCUGCACAACUUUGCUGCCAUCACAAUCGGUCAAACUGUUAUAGUUAAAGGUCAUACAAAUUGGACAUUUAUUUAUGAUCUUACUUUUAUCAUAUAUUUAUUUCACUGACAUUUGCUAUUGUGUCAUUCUGUUCAGCUACAGUGGUGAGUGCCGACACAAAUAUAUAACGGUUACAGGUUGUUAAGCACAUAAGCACGAAUUAAGUGGUGAAUUAUUCUAAAUACUAUGUUAAAUCUUAAAUCUGUAAAUAAAGACGUUUUACACUGCAGUAAGUGCAUGAAACAGUGGAUGAAAACUUACUACUACAGCCCUGCUGGAAUGAUGGCGCCAAGGCCAGGGGGGACGGGAUGUGUCACGGUGGACGUAUAACGUAGGGUUUGAAUAAGUUCCUGCUCCCCCUGACAAAGAGUAUCAAUGUAAUAUUCCAUGUGUACUAUUAGAUUCAUACCAAUGUUAUUGGUAAACUUGUUUAUUCUUUUCUGAAUGUGGUAAUUUACAAGUCUAUCCCUUAGUAAACCAACAGGUUAAUAUAAUACAUCAGCAAUGCAAUUUAUUGCAUUGCGUAAUGUUGAGAACCAGUUGAGGCUAGCCUCUGGACCAGUUGAGAACCAGUUGAGGCCAGCCUCAACUGGUCAUGAUA